rnacentral:rRNA from 1 species
AUGAAGGACUUGGUUAUCCGGUUGUGGCCUGCAGAGCCAAUUCCAAGCAGUUACUUCGGACUCGUAAAGCGGAUUGUGGGUGUCUGUCCUCGGCUUGAUGCUAUCAAGCGAUCAGUCUGUAUAGAAGGUGCGCGCAUGGCGUUUGCCCAUGCAAAAGUGCAUUGGUGGAAGCUUGAUGCGAAUAAGCUGAUGACUGAGGGACCACCGGAGGGAAAGGAGCAUCGCAAGCCCGAACUGUACUAUGAAGGUGUACUGAAGGGUGCCCGCCUGGCGGCGGAUAAGUGGACCAAAGACAUUAUAUUUCCCUGA